CGGGAGAAUAGGAAACGUACUACUUAAUGGAAUUUCUAGACUUAGCUUGAAUAUAAUAGGUGAUAUGUUCUUAGAUUUGGGUGACACAUUCAUAAUAAAGGAAUUUCGUAAUUGAAGGAUGAUAAAUACGACAACUUAGAUAGAAAUUCUCCCAACCAGGAUCAAAAGUUCGGAGGUCUGAGACAAAAAGAUAACAUUUAGUACUAAGCGAAUAAUAUAUGAGAGGAAUAAUCGCUAGGAAAGCGAUAACAUCAGGAGUUCAUAUUAAAAUAGUUAAUCUCAAAUAUAUCCAUCUUAGUGAAUAUUAUGGCAGCGGAAUUUAUCUUGGCAUUUAUUUGGGAAUACAGCAACACCCUCCCUCAGCUUCGCACGUCACCAUCUGCCGCUCAACCUGCAAAAGGUUUGAAACAAUUGCAGGGCUGAGUACUAGUAUACUCAGUGGGUUUAGCCAUUUGAAAACAUUUGAAAAAUUCAUUUAAAAGAAUAAUCCAUGCUAUGAACAGUAUAACAUAGAAAUAUUUGAAAGCAUUCUAUGCAUACUUUAAAAUAAAUUGUGGAUCCAUUUUCAGUCUUCUCUCUACUUGUGCUUCACCUAUAAUGUGAAUUUGUGGGAGCAGCCCACAGAGGUCCACUACCAUGCAUGUUUCAGAAAUGGGAGCAGCCCAAGUCUGACAGUCUGAGGCAAGUGGGAGCAGCCCACAAUACCCCCUUGUGUGUACACAAUCCUAACCAGGGCGAUCCAAUCGCUACGCCGGCUAGGACCCGAUCGUUAGAGAACAUAGGAGCACUUUAAACAAUAGAGAGAUAAAAACAUUUUAACAUGGACAUUCAUUUGCAUUUGCAUAAAGACAAUUUAGAGCUCAAUAACUCAAAACAUACAUUGGAAAAUAAAAAUCCACCUUGAUAACAAGCUUGUAGAUAAAUCUUGCACAAUUCUCUUCUUGUAAGAUCAGUGCUAAAGUCUUCUAUCAAGUGGACCUACAAGAUAAUCUAAUCUUAAUAGGCCUCAAAAUAUCGUCUCUGCUACUAUUUCCAUAAAAUUCUUAAAUUCUAGUUCGGCAAUUAAUCGACCUCUCAUUAAACAUAACUAAAUCCCAAUUUCAAAAUACUUAUUGCAAAAGUAUAGCUUAAAACUUUUGAACUCUUCUGCAAACUCAUGCUAUAAUCACAGAUCUAAAAUCCCAUACUUAAUGCAUAAUAAUAUUUAGAGUUAAUGGGCUCAAUUAGCCGUUCUUAUAUAAGAAAAGGAAAAAAUGUCCACCCAAAUAAAAAUAUGGAAAAACUAGCCUUUUCUAACGUAAAUGUACAAUUAUACCCUUAAUACUGUUACACACUUUUUCGCAAAAGUUUGUAAUAACAUAAAGUGUGUAACUGCGAAAAGUGUGUAACAGUGUAUUUUACACUGUUACACACUUUUCACAAAAGUGUGUAAUAAUGUAAAAGUAUGUGGUUGCGAAAAAGUGUGUAACAAUGUAAAAUACACUAUUACACACUUUUUCGUUUCUAAAAAGUGUGUAAUAGUAUAUUUUAUAUUGUUACACACUAAAAGGGUAUUUUAGUCAGAAAUGCUAUUAUUUCCAUAUUUUUAUUUGUAUGACUAGAAUUUCCUAUGACUAAAAGGUUUUGGCUAGACUAGGGUGCUGCCUCUAAUAUUUAUUAUGCAACUUUGAAUAAAUAACCAAGCCAAGGCUCAAAUUAAUCAAAAUAAAAUAAAAUAAAAACUUAAGUCCAAAUCUCUUAGUAUGAGCCCAAGUUUAAUCAAAUAAUUCUCAUGCAUCUGGCCCAAUUUUAAAAAAACUGAAGCCCAAAAAAUGAGGGCCCAAAUCAACCCAUCCCUUCCUCUUUUAAUUCUCUGGAUCGGUCUCUCUCUCUCUAUCCCAGCUCUCACCUUCCAUUCCUCCUUUCUCCCUCUGAAAUCUGCAGCCGCCUCGCCACUUCUCCAUCGCCGGCGACAACAGCGAUGUCGCCGUCGCGCCUCACUUUUCCCCCUCUCCGUUCUCCCCAUCUUGCUUCUCUCUCUCAAAGAGGAAAUCCCUAAAUUCCAAAAUCCCUAAAUCUGCCCCCUCCCAUCUCCUUCUCUCGGUUGGACGGUCAACGGCAAAGGGCCGCCACCACCGCCGACUCCAUCUCCUUCACGCCGACAACAGCAGCAGCCGUCAUCGCCGUCCAGCUACCUCCUUCCUCCGUCCGACCAGAGCAGCACAGCAGCGGCCGAAGCCACCGCACCGCUGCCCCUUCUUUCUUCCGCCAGCCGACGCCCUCCGCCAGCAACAGCGCACGGCGGCGCUAUUCAGCCGCCGCCUUCCGCCUGUUCUAUGCCACAAACUCCCAUCUCCAGUUUCUUCUCCUAUUUUUCCCUUUCUGUGAUAUUAAUAAUAUCUCUGUUCUAUUUGAUUUCCUUAUGAAAAUUACAGAAAAUGGAUGUAUGCAUGUUUUGAUUUGAAAACAGAAUUCUGUUGUAAAGUUUUGGUUUUUUGGCAGAAUUGAGAAACUAUGAAUGAAAUAACUUUGCAAAAAUAAUACUCCCUCGUCCACGAAAUGAGUACCCAUUUGGGGUGGCACGGGUUUUAAGAAAUUGAUUAAAUGUGUGAGUGAAAUAAGGGACCCACUUUUAUUGUGGGUGGGAUGUGUGGGGUACACUUACCAAAAAAGGAAAUGGGUACUCAUUUGGUGGACGGACCAAAAAGGAAAUAUGGGUACUCAUUUCGUGGACGGAGGGAGUAAAAUUUACCGGCUGGGAUUUUGUAGGGAGAAUCUGCAAAUUGAGUGCAGUGGUGUAAGAAGUUAGUCGGUUGCUGGGUUUUUGGAUUGGGGAUGAUAAAAGUGCAGUUUGAAUAGUAUGAAUUGGGUGAAGAGUUAAGCUGCGUCGUGUGUGAUCGAAUGGGCGAGAAUGGGUGAUAGUUAUAGGGGAAACUGGCAGGAAGAAGAAGACGUGGAAGUACCCCUAUCAUGCAUUAAAC
rnacentral:lncRNA from 1 species